UUUCCGUAGGUGAAUCUGCGGAAGGAUCAUUACAGUGUUCCCUGCCCUUCGGGGUAGGAUCGCCACCCUUGAUUAUUUAUGAGUGUUGCUUUGGCGGGCCUCGCGGCCUGGCCGCGCCCCGGCUUCGGCGGGGGAGCGCCCGCCAGAGGAUUCUACAAACCUGAUUGUUAGUGUCGUCUGAGUACUAUAUAAUAGUUAAAACUUUCAACAACGGAUCUCUUGGUUCUG
rnacentral:misc_RNA from 1 species